rnacentral:rRNA from 2 species
CUAAUACAUGCAAGUCGAGCGGAUGACGGGAGCUUGCUCCUUGAUUCAGCGGCGGACGGGUGAGUAAUGCCUAGGAAUCUGCCUGGUAGUGGGGGACAACGUUUCGAAAGGAACGCUAAUACCGCAUACGUCCUACGGGAGAAAGCAGGGGACCUUCGGGCCUUGCGCUAUCAGAUGAGCCUAGGUCGGAUUAGCUAGUUGGUGGGGUAAUGGCUCACCAAGGCGACGAUCCGUAACUGGUCUGAGAGGAUGAUCAGUCACACUGGAACUGAGACACGGUCCAGACUCCUACGGGAGGCAGCAGUGGGGAAUAUUGGACAAUGGGCGAAAGCCUGAUCCAGCCAUGCCGCGUGUGUGAAGAAGGUCUUCGGAUUGUAAAGCACUUUAAGUUGGGAGGAAGGGCAGUAAGUUAAUACCUUGCUGUUUUGACGUUACCGACAGAAUAAGCACCGGCUAACUCUGUGCCAGCAGCCGCGGUAAUACAGAGGGUGCAAGCGUUAAUCGGAAUUACUGGGCGUAAAGCGCGCGUAGGUGGUUCGUUAAGUUGGAUGUGAAAGCCCCGGGCUCAACCUGGGAACUGCAUCCAAAACUGGCGAGCUAGAG